rnacentral:rRNA from 1 species
GACGUAGGAUGCAAGCGUUGUCCGGAUUUAUUGGGCGUAAAGAGUUCGUAGGCGGCUUGUUAAGUCUGGUGUUAAAGACUGGAGCUCAACUCCGGGAGUGCACUGGAUACUGGCAAGCUUGAGUAUGGUAGAGGCGAGCGGAAUUCCCAGUGUAGCGGUGAAAUGCGUAGAUAUUGGGAAGAACACCGGUGGCGCAAGCGGCUCGCUGGGCCAUUACUGACGCUGAGGAACGAAAGCUAGGGUAGCGAAUGGG